AUCCAGCUGAUGAGUCCAAAACAAAACGAAACGUCCUUCUUGAAU
rnacentral:hammerhead_ribozyme from 1 species